GAUGAAGAACGUAGCGAAAUGCGAUACUUGGUGUGAAUUGCAGAAUCCCGUGAACCAUCGAGUCUUUGAACGCAAGUUGCGCCCGAAGCCAUUAGGCCGAGGGCACGCCUGCCUGGGCGUCACACGUCGUUGCCCCCCCAUCUACUCCUUCGGGAUUGCGGGGGGCGGAUGAUGGCCUCCCGUGCGCCUCGCCGCGCGGUUGGCAUAAAUGCCAAGUCCUCGGCGACGCACGCCACGACAAUCGGUGGUUGCGAAACCUCGGUUGCCCGUCGUGUGCGGUCGUCGCGCAUCGAGGGCUCGAAAAAAUUGCCGGGUUCCGGCUCGGCUUGCAACGCGACCCCAGGUCAGGCGGGGUUACCCGCUGAAUUUAAGCAUAUCAAUAAGCGGAGGA
rnacentral:misc_RNA from 1 species